CUUUGCCCUUGCACCAUGUUAGGACACAGCUAGAAGGUGCCAUCUUUGUUUUUUGUUUUUGUUUGUUUUUGAUUUUGUUUUUUGGAGACAAGAUCUCACUCUGUUGCCCAGGCUGGAGUGCAGUGGCGCAAUGUCAGCUCACUGGAACCUCCACCUCCUGGCCUCAAGCGAUUCUCGUGCCUCAGCCUCCUGUGUAGCUGGGAUUACAGAGUCUCCUCGGGACUGUCACCUUACAAUUGCCCCCACAAUGGGCCCCAGUGGGAAGCUGGCCUGUUGUUUUUUGCCUUGAGUCUUUGGCUGAUCUACAUGGGAAAGGCAUAUCCCCAGCUACAGAACCAGCACAACGUGGACUAUGUAAUAUUCAAGGGUAUAUGUCCCUUCUCCAUCUCAUAGAUCCCCUUCCACCGCCUUGACACUGAAGAGCAACCUCCCCAUCACUCCUUUCUCAUUGUUCCUGGGUUUCUCUCUGAGACUGCGAGGGCGUAGAAUGAGGAAUGAAAAAGACAUGCAACCCCAUCUCACCAUGAAGGAGAAUCACAAUCACGGGUUGCUGAGAACAUGUAAGAGGUAGCUCUAAGCUAGCCUGGGAGGUAAAGGAAGGCUUCCAGGAGGAGGUGACCUUUACAUUGAGACAGAAAGGAUGAACAGGAAUAAGCUAGGAAGAGGGAGUGAAGAGGGCUUUCCAGGUGAAGGGAACGACCCAUUCAAAGCCUGGAGGCAGGACAGAGUAUGAGCUGCUUGAGAAACAGAAAUCAGGCCAAUGUGCUCGGCACUCAGCGUAGCAUGGAGAGCCAAGGGGAGGGAGGAAGAGAUGAGGCCAGGGAGAGGCCACGGGGAGGAUUCUAGACUUGGAGGCUUUUCCUGAGUUUGGAAAAGCCCAAAUUACCAAGCUCUUCCAGGGAGAAUAACUCAACUGGGCAGAUUGUGUGAGCUGGAGCGGAGGUGGAGGUCAGGACGCCAAGAUGGAAUUUUCUGGCUUUUCUGCACACUGGGGACAGUUGCAGGGCUGUCUAGAUCCCACAGAGCUCAACAAUAUGCCUGACUCACCACCCCUCUGAGGCUGCCCAGCCCACAGGUGACAGUGUCAGGGCUGCGGCCACCCGCCUGGUUCUGCCACUCAGCGACCUUGGACAAGGCCCCCCUACCCACAAGUCUCUUUAUUCAUACAAUUGUAAUGACAGCUACGUCCCAGCCUUACUCUAGGAUUCCAUGAGAUCAUUCUAGGUCAGAGGCUUUAUUAAUAAAGGUUAUUAUUAUUACUAUUACUGUUGUUGAUGAUGUUUGCAGCCUGGCCCAACUCCUGGGCACUGCUUUGUCCGCUGGUUGCUGGUUCUGUUUCAGGGACAGACACUAGCAAGGCGCAGGGCUGGCAUGUUUGCUUUUUUGCAUACAUGCGAAUCUUGCAUUCAGAAGAGCCCCUCCUUCCACAGAGGGUCCAGCGGGGUUGCUUGGGGGACACAUUCCAGAAAGAAUAACUCUGUGUAACAUGAAACCCUGAAUCUGGAAACACAGCCUCUAUGGGAAAUUGGAGGAUAAGGUCUGGUCUGUGGACCGCCCAACCUCAUUCCAUACAAAAGGGAUAUUGAAACCCAAAGGCCUCAUCCCUUGGCCUCCAGACUAUGGUCUCGCCCUCACCGCGGCCUGAGAGAUCUUCCUAAAAACCAAACUUGACCAGGACACUGCCCUGUUUCAACUCUUCCGUGGCUCCUACUCAGGUUCCCCCUGAGGAUCAGGUCCACACGCCUCAUUGUGACCUACAAUGCCCUGUGGUCAGGCCACUGUCCAUACCUGCAGCCACACCAGAGCCUGCUCUGACCCAGCCACAUGGGCCUCCAGCGGAUCAAGUUCUUUCCUGCUUCAGGACCCCUGCACAUCCGUGAGCCCUCUUCCCACUCUAACAGGCGACUGCUAAUUCUUCCAGAUUCAGAAGUCUACAGACUUUGUUAAACUUCCAGAUAAUAAUAGAAAGUAGGCCGGGCAUGGUGGCUCACACCUGUAAUCCCAGCACUUUGGGAGGCCAAGCUGGAUGGAUCACCUGAGGUCAGGAGUUCAAGACCAGCCUGGCCAACAUGGUGAAACCCCGUCUCUACUGAAAAUACAAAAAUUAGCCGGGCACGGUGGCAGGUGCCUGUAAUCUCGGCUAAUGGGGAGGCUGAGGCAGGAGAAUCACUUGAAUCUGGGAGGUGGAAUUUGCAAUGAGCUGAGAUCAUGCCACUGCACUCCAGCCUGGAUAACAGAGUGAGACUCUGUCUCAAAAAUCUAAAUAAAUAGAUAGGUAGAUAAAUAAAUAAAAGAAAGCAGUAAUAUUAUCCCCACUUUCCAGAUAAGCAGACUGAGGCCAUCCACCUCAGGCCUGGAGUCUAGCUGGCCUGGCUUGAGGUUUAGUUGCAGGAGCCACUUGCAAAAUCACCAAGCACCUGGUCACAGCUUCACGACCACAGGAGAGUGGAGGUCGCUCGAGAAGAGAGGUAGGCCAAGGAGAACAGGGCCAGGGUAGCACAGUGUCAGGGUAGCACAGUGUCACGGCAUGGAAGCCAUUCUCAACGCAUUCAAAACCCAGUUCAGCCACUCAGACGCUGUGGUCUAAGGCAGGACAUUCAACCUCUCUGAACCUCAGUUUUCUCAUCUGUAAAAUGGGGCUAAAUAAUAAUACAAACCUCACAGGUACAUUGUGAGUAUUGGGGAAUGACAGAUGAAGUGCCCGGCCCGUGGUGGACACUCAGUGCAUGGCAUGAUGCCACCUUCCCUUGACGCACCUGGGGAGGCUGCACCAGUCCAGACCAGCCUAGACCAGACUAGCCUUGCAUCACCCAAGGUUAGGCAGCCAGGGCCUGGGAACCAUCCCUGCCCUGUUUUCUGUUUGGGGCUUUGUGUUUCCCAGCGUUUCCUUUGGAAAAAGUCCAGCUUCCUCCCCACUGGAAGGAGGCAGGAGGGGACUGUUCACGCCUGGGUCUGGAUGCCCGAGGGAGCCUUGUGGGGAGAUGACAAGAGCCUGGGGUUUGGAGUCAGGCCAGUAGGGUUUGAAUCCAGGAUCUGACCUUUACAACACUGUGUGGCCCUGGGCAAGUGACUUCACCUCUCUGAGGUGCCAAUUUCCUCACCUCUUUAAGGUCUCAUGAUCUCUGCCUCAAAGGGUACUGGAUGCAGAUGGAGGGGUGGGGUGAGAGAAGGUUCUGGAUGCAGUUCCCCAGUGUACAUACAGUGAUUCCUUUUGGGGAUGGGCUGAAGACCAGGGGAGGAGCCAAAGGUUGACAGCUGGAGUGACCAAGACAAAUGCUCCCUGGCAAACGGAAUCCAGUGGGUGUCCUGCCUAGGAUGGAGGUGGGAAGGACAAAUUUAGGUCCAGCUUGUCAGCAUGCUGCUGGAAUGAGGGUCCAAAGUGAUCAGACCUCUGAUUAUUCAGGAGAAAAAUCCACGCAAAAUUUUCACGCAAAAUCUCAUGAUUAAAGUAUGGUAAGGAGUAUAUAGGAUGAUUCCAUUUAUAGAAAAUUCACAACAGGCAAAACCAAGAUAGUGGUUUCCUUUGAGGGAGGUGGGUGGUGCCUGGGAGGGAACAUGAAGGAUUUCAGGAAGCCAGCAACAUUCUCUCUCUUAAUCUGGGUGUUGGUGGCAUGGGCAUGUCCUCUUUGUAAUCCUAUGCUUCGUGCACUUUUCUACUGUGUAUUAUACUUCAAUAAAAAUGCUAGAAUAAUUUUAAAGCAAAUAAAUCAAGGCUGCAGUGCUGGGAGAAAAGACUACCUAUAGGGGCCAAGCUGAACACACCUGCAGGCUGCCUUCUGACUCUGGGCUGGGGACGUGAGGCAGGCAUGGGUGCUCUUGGCCCCUGACACCCUUAGGGGGCAGGUGCUUCCUCAGCCACACAGGAGGAACACCCAUCCUGCCCCACCCUGCUGCCUUAUCCAGAGAAGGCUGGACAGCCACAGCUCCUCUUAGCCAGAUCUGCUGAGCUCACAUUCUAGAGAAACAGACAAGUUCUGUCACUUACAUGAUAAAGUCCCCCCAAAAACUCACCCUUACUUAUUAUACAUUUUACUUUACCAAGAAUGCCCAGAGGACAGUAAUCAAAAGGCAGACUCAGGCCGGGUGUGGUGGCUCACACCUGUAAUCCCAGCACUUUGGGAGGCAGAGAUAGGCGGAUCACCUGGGGUCAGGUGUUCGAGACCAGCCUGACCAAUAUGGUGAAACCCCGUCUCUACCAAAUACACAAAAAAAUUAGCCAAGCAUGGUGGCAGGUGCCUAUAAUCCCAGCUACCUGGGAGUCUGAGGUGAGAGAAUCACUUGAACCUGGGAGGAGGAGGUUGCAGUGAGCUGAGAUCGCACCACUGCACUCCAGCCUGGUUGACUGAGCGAGACUGUGUCUUAAAAAAAAAAAAAAAAAAAAGCAAAAGAGGCAGAUCCAGUUAUGUUUCAAAAAAAGGCUUCCUAGAAUCUGGAUUUCACCAGCCGACUGCCAGCCCUGAUCACCCUCACAAGGUAAACCCAAAGGCUACCAACUUGUAUCGUCACUGGUGCCCAGGAGCCCCUGACGUCACAGGGGUUGUGGUUGGCAGUGGAAUUGCCCCAGCUCCACCCCUCUGCCUGGUCCAGAAG
rnacentral:lncRNA from 1 species